GGGCCUAUAGCUCAGCUGGGAGAGCGCCUGCCUUGCACGCAGGGGUCCUGCGGUUCGAUCGGCAUAGCUCCACCA
rnacentral:tRNA from 1 species